UCUGUGCUUAUGGUUUAUAGAGAGAAGAAGGACGAAGGAAGAGGCUCAUAGCCACAAGGGUUUAUAGAGAGAGAAGAAGUAGGAAAACUUCAUCGGCUUUGGUUUAUAGAGAGAGAAGAAGGAAGAAGGAAGAGUUCGUUUGCUUCACCAACCCUAAUGGAAGAGACCCUAAGUGAUUUUUAGAGAGAAAAAAAGAAAGGAAGAUGGGAUGCUGAUUUGGGAUAGUUUGAAGAGGAUUUUUUUCUCUGAUUUGAGUUGUUGUUGUUUGAGAGAAAGCCCUAAUUAUACUGAGUUCUUGUUGAGAAAAAACCCUAAUUAUGCUGAGUUCUUGUUUGAGAGAAAGCCCAAGUUAUACUGAUUUGUGAUGAGGCCCUAACUGAUUUUUUGAUUUGUGAAGAGGCCUUGACUUUCAUAGAGAGAAAAGGAAGAGGGUUUUUCAUUUUGUCGGGGA
rnacentral:lncRNA from 1 species